rnacentral:rRNA from 1 species
CCUACGGGCGGCAGCAGUGAGGAAUAUUGGUCAAUGGUCGGGAGACUGAACCAGCCAAGCCGCGUGAGGGAGGAAGGUACAGAGUAUCGUAAACCUCUUUUGUCAGGGAACAAAGACUGGGACGCGUCCCCGGAUGAGUGUAUCUGAAGAAAAAGCAUCGGCUAACUCCGUGCCAGCAGCCGCGGUAAUACGGAGGAUGCGAGCGUUAUCCGGAUUUAUUGGGUUUAAAGGGUGCGGAGGCGGUUUGAUAAGUCAGCGGUGAAAUGGCCGGGCGCAACCCCGGACCUGCCUCUAAUACUGGUAGACUAGAGUAGAGUUGAGGUAUGCGGAAUGUAUGGUGUAGCGGUGAAAUGCUUAGAUAUCGUACAGAACACCGAUUGCGAAGGCAGCUUACCGGCUCCAAUCUGACGUUGAGGCACGAAAGCGUGGGUAUCGAACAGGAUUAGAUACCCGUGUAGUC